rnacentral:lncRNA from 1 species
GUCGAUAUUUAUGAGCUCCAGGUGGUCAAGGAUCUCGUGACAACCGAAUGAGUGGCGCGCAGUUACAUCCAACAGAUGACACGUUUGAUGUCGCAUUUCAGGAGUUUUCGAUACACUCUACAAGCAAAUGUUGGGAAUGGACCGAUUGCGCAUGACUUCAACAGAGCACUAGAAAGGAUGUACAAGGUCCAGUAUGAUACAUCCAGGAAUGUAGUUAUGUGGGUCAAGAUGGCUUU